UACGUAGGGUGCAAGCGUUAAUCGGAAUUACUGGGCGUAAAGCGUGCGCAGGCGGUUGUGCAAGACAGAUGUGAAAUCCCCGGGCUCAACCUGGGAAUUGCAUUUGUGACUGCACGGCUAGAGUGUGUCAGAGGGGGGGGUAGAAUUCCACGUGUAGCAGUGAAAAUGCGUAGAGAUGUGGAGGAAUACCGAUGCGAAGGCAGCCCCCCUGGGAUAA
rnacentral:rRNA from 1 species